rnacentral:lncRNA from 1 species
CUAACAUAGAAGAGUAAUAUUUAGUAUGAAAAUAUGUGGUUGAAAAUAUUUAGUAUGAAAAUAUGACGUGUACUACUUCUAUAGAUAUUCAUUGAAAAAUAUAACACAUAAUAUUUACUGUAUAUGUGACAUACUUUAGCAAGACUUGAUAUGACUGUUAGGUCAAACUGGAAUUCACAGCCCUUGGAAGCGUUCAUUCUGCUGAUGUGUAUGUGUGUAAGCACUUAAAUGUAAUUCUUAUGAUAUAGACCUAGGUGCAUGGAUACAUAGAUCAAGUGAGGAUGAUGACAGCCACAUCUUAAAGGAACUUGACAUAGAGACAGAUAAUAUGUGGUGAAGAUGCCAUGUAAUACUGGCUCAAGUAGACAGAGGAGGCGCUUCUUUGGGAAGAGAAGAAGGGGAAUGUUGGGAGUGUUUGCUGAGGCUGUCGGAGGAAGCGAGGCUAGAGCUGAUCCAGUCCCAUGGUGUGGUGGGGACAAGAUGGAGGAGAGUGUUCAGCGCAGGGAAGAGAGUCUGUACAAAGGCAUUCUGUUUUAUGUUUUUAAGUGAAAUGUGUUUGUUUUACUUUCUUAAAAUAAUAAGCUAUCUAGGCUUCAUAUGUGUUAAUGUAUUUAGUCUGAAUAAAACAACUUUUAAUCAUCUGAUAUGAUCUCAUAGUUGAACUAAAGAAAAAAUUACUUUUUAUUUUCUCUUUUGGAAGAGAAAGCUAGUAAAGGAAGUGCUAA